rnacentral:rRNA from 1 species
AACCCAAAAACUUUGAUUUCUCGUAAGGUGCCGAGCGGGUCAUCAUAGAAACCCCGCCCGAUCCCUAGUCGGCAUAGUUUAUGGUUAAGACUACGACGGUAUCUGAUCGUCUUCGAUCCCCUAACUUUCGUUCCCUGAUUAAUGAAAACAUCCUUGGCGAAUGCUUUCGCAGUAGUUAGUCUUCAGCAAAUCCAAGAAUUUCACCUCUGACAGCUGAAUACUGACGCCCCCGACUAUCCCUAUUAAUCAUUACGGCGGUCCUAGAAACCAACAAAAUAGAACCGCACGUCCUAUUCUAUUAUUCCAUGCUAAUGUAUCCGAGCAAAGGCCUGCUUUGAACACUCUAAUUUUUUCACAGUAAAAGUCCUGGUUCCCCGCCACAGCCAGNGAAGGCCAUGGGAUUCCCCANAANGAAAGGCCCAUCCGGACCAGUACUCGCGGNGAGGCGGACCGGCAGGACGGGCCCAAGGUUCAACUACNAGCUUUUUAACUGCAACAACUUUAAUAUACGCUAUNGGAGCUGGAAUUACCGCGGNUGCUGGCACCAGACUUGCCCUCCAAUNGUUCCUCGUUAAGGGAUUUANAUNGUUCUCAUUCCAAUUACAAGACCCAAAAGAGCCCUGUAUCAGUAUUUAUUGUCACUACCUCCCCGUAUCGGGAUUGGGUAAUUUGCGCGCCUGCUG